UACGGAGGGUGCAAGCGUUAAUCGGAAUUACUGGGCGUAAAGAGUGCGUAGGCGGUUGGGUAAGUUAUCUGUGAAAUCCCUGGGCUUAACCUAGGUGGGAAAGAUAAGACUGCUUAACUAGAGUGUGGUAGAGGAUAGUGGAAUUUCCGGUGUAGCGGUGAAAUGCGUAGAGAUCGGAAGGAACACCAGUGGCGAAGGCGGCUAUCUGGACCAACACUGACGCUGAGGCACGAAAGCGUGGGGAGCAAACAGG
rnacentral:rRNA from 1 species